rnacentral:misc_RNA from 1 species
CGAGCGGCAGUAAUACCUUGGGGCGUUCAAGCGUAAUGGGGCGAAACUUAGUAGUAAAGCUAUCGGCAAGGAGAACAGCCUGCAACGAAACUCGUGCCAGCUCCUCGGGGUCCUCGGAGACCCGCGAUGCUCCCUUUCUCUGAGCACCCAUUCCUUCCUUAUUGUCUGAGUGAGACGGAAGAUGGCGGUGCCGGUGGCUGACUGAGGUGCGAAUCGGAGAUGGGAGUGGGAGCCUGAGAUGGAAGAUGGAAGUGGGAGCCGAAAACGAAGUGAAGAUGAAGAGAAGGAGAAAGGUGUUGUGCUGAGAAAGAGAAGGAGAAAGUGCGAGAGAACUGGAGAAGGAGAUGGAG